rnacentral:rRNA from 1 species
UACGUAGGUGGCAAGCGUUGUCCGGAUUUAUUGGGCGUAAAGGGAGCGCAGGCGGUGACUUAAGUCUGAUGUGAAAGCCCACGGCUCAACCGUGGAAGGUCAUUGGAAACUGGGUCACUUGAAUAUAGAAGAGGAAAGUGGAAUUCCAUGUGUAGCGGUGAAAUGCGUAGAUAUAUGGAGGAACACCAGUGGCGAAGGCGACUUUCUGGUCUAUAACUGACACUGAGGCGCGAAAGCGUGGGGAGCAAACAGGAUUAGAUACCCGGGUAGU